UCCGGAAUGUUCCUCCAGUGUGUUAGGAGUUAUGUUUACGUGCGUCUCACCUUGACGUAUAGAAAUGUGCUGUAUGGAGGCUCCUAAACAGUGGUCCCUGGUCCAAUCCUGAGUUCGGACGACGGACUCAGUGGAGUCACACGUCCUCCUCGUGUCCACGUGGGCUUCCUCCUGGUUCUCCGGUUUCCUCCAACCUUCCAGAAACAUGCCGGCGGGUCGUCCGGUGACUCUAAAUCGCCCCUGGAUGUAAACGAGUGUACGAGAGGCGUUCGCGGUCGUUAAGUGAUAGCUCGGCGUCCCGUCCGGGAUGCAUUCCUGCCUCGCGCCCAGCGUUCUAGAAGAUGAAGGAACGAAUAAACGAGCUUGACUCA